AAAAGGAGGGACUGGUUAGACUUGUGGAUAUACUACAAUAAAAACGGUCUAUAGCGACACUUUUAAAUGUCGGUAUAGGUCAAAAAAAAGUGCUGCUAGCUAAAUUACCGACACUUUUAAAAAGUGUUGCUAUAUGUGGGGUCGCUAGAUAUAUAGCGACAGUUAAAGAGUAUCGCUAUAACCUAAAAAAGUGCUGCUAAUUUAGUAACACUUAUUUAAGCAUCUAGCAACCGUCGGAACUCUACCUCGUUGGCUGCGGUGGCUGAGGAGGACGAGAUGAAAGGACCCUUCGUCUAGAAUUUCAGUGGAUUAAGUGAGGGGAGAAUGGGAGAUAGUAAUCGAUUUUUCUUUUUUCUUUUUCCUUUCAGUUUGGAAUCGGGCCAAAUGGGUUAGGUUGGGUGGGUUGAGUUAGUAACCUUUUAUUUUUUUAUUGGAUUCGACUUUUUAUUAAGGCAUUAGUAGAUGUUUUUUUAAAUUUUGACAUAAAUGAGACACUUAGAUAAAAGUGUCCCAAACAUGUGUCUCUGUAAGAAUUUUAUAGAAAGGAUUAAAUUACAUAUGUAUGAUAUAAUUUAGAGCAACG
rnacentral:lncRNA from 1 species